CGCCCCGCCAAGAUGGCGCGGCCCGGCCCCGCUCCCUCAGGGCUCGGCCGCCAUGGCGGGGCGCCGCCGCGUGCUCCCUGAGGGCGGGCGGCUGCAGCGCUGUGCGGGAAGGAGACACGGCCUAGAGUCACGGCAGGGGUUGCGGAAUCAGUGCCUGGUCACCCGCACAGGAAAGUUCUUCUUCGUGUUCAGAGCUGGGUGUUUUCAGGCACUGCUGACGUCUGCAGCUCUGGUACCAGCGCUGGACUCUGCCUCUCUCACGUCCCUCUCGGCAACAUCUGACGUCCCUAAUGGCUUCUGACAACGUUAACUCGCUCUAAUUUGUGUCCUGCCCUUCCCAGAACGUGCAGUUCUCACACACAUCAGCUCGUGGCUCCUUGCCUUGCUCAGGGCUGUUCUGGGCAGCCGGGGCCGAGCCCCUCAGCUGAUUCCACCGCCUGUCCUUAGCAGAUACUGAGCCUGGGCUCUGUCCCCCAGCCCUGCUGUUUUUUCAUCAGGGUGCAGCCCCAAGUCGAUGGGAAAGUGCUCCCCAUGCCACUGGCACCAACUGGACCUGUUCCAGCCAGACCUGCGGAAUUCUCUGUGGAUCGUUUGGGUCCUUGUUCCGACGGUGCUGCUGGUGCAGGGUUUGGCAAGCAGGAAUGCUGCGGGGUGUUUGCCCACCGGCUGUCCAACCCCUUCCCUCCCACCCCCCCACUGCUGUGAAUGUAGGUG
rnacentral:lncRNA from 1 species